rnacentral:rRNA from 1 species
CUACGGGUCGCACCAGUGGGGAAUAUUGCACAAUGGGCGCAAGCCUGAUGCAGCCAUGCCGCGUGUAUGAAGAAGGCCUUCGGGUUGUAAAGUACUUUCAGCGGGGAGGAAGGGAGUAAAGUUAAUACCUUUGCUCAUUGAGGUUACCCGCAGAAGAAGCACCGGCUAACUCCGUGCCAGCAGCCGCGGUAAUACGGAGGGUGCAAGCGUUAAUCGGAAUUACUGGGCGUAAAGCGCACGCAGGCGGUUUGUUAAGUCAGAUGUGAAAUCCCCGGGCUCAACCUGGGAACUGCAUCUGAUACUGGCAAGCUUGAGGCUCGUAGAGGGGGGUAGAAUUCCAGGUGUAGCGGUGAAAUGCGUAGAGAUCUGGAGGAAUACCGGUGGCGAAGGCGGCCCCCUGGAUGAAGACUGACGCUCAGGUGCGAAAGCGUGGGGAGCAAACAGGAUUAGAUACCCGCGUAGUC